AUUGAACGCUGGCGGCAGGCCUAACACAUGCAAGUCGAGCGAGCGGCGGACGGGUGAGUAAUGUCUGGGACACUGCCUGCUGGAGGGGGAUAACUACUGGAAACGGUAGCUAAUACCGCAUACCAUCAGAUGUGCCCAGAUGGGAUGAGCUGGGAGGUGGGGUAACGGCUCACCUAGGCGCCGAUCCCUAGCUGGUCUGAGAGGAUGACCAGCCACACUGGAACUGGGCCACGGUCCAGACUCCUACGGGAGGAAGCAGUGGGGAAUAUGGCACAAUGGGCGAAAGCCGGAUGCAGCCAUGCCGCGUGUGUGAAGAAGGCCUUCGGGUUGUAAAGCACUUUCAGCGGGGAGGCGUUACCCGCAGAAGAAGCACCGGCUAACUCCGUGCCAGCAGCCGCGGUAAUUC
rnacentral:rRNA from 1 species